rnacentral:ncRNA from 1 species
GGGACCUGUACACGUUGCGGUGCAACGAUCGUCAA